rnacentral:rRNA from 1 species
CCUACGGGAGGCUGCAGUGGGGAAUAUUGGGCAAUGGGCGCAAGCCUGACCCAGCAACGCCGCGUGAAGGAAGAAGGCUUUCGGGUUGUAAACUUCUUUUGUCAGGGACGAAGCAAGUGACGGUACCUGACGCAUCAGCCACGGCUACCUCCGUCCCAGCAGCCGCGGUACUACGUAGGUGGCAAGCGUUAUCCGGAUUUACUGGGUGUAAGGGGCGCGAAGGCGGGGUAGCAAGUCAGAUGUGAAAACCACGGGCUCAACCUGUGGCCUGCAUUUGAAACUGGUUUUCUUGAGUGCUGGAGAGGCAAUCGGAAUUCCGGGUGUAGCGGUGAAAUGCGUAGAGAUACGAAGGAACACCAGUGGCGAAGGCGGAUUGCUGGACAGUAACUGACGCUGAGGCGCGAAAGCGUGGGGAGCAAACAGGAUUAGAUACCCCGGUAGUC